AGUGAACGCUGGCGGCAGGCCUAACACAUGCAAGUCGAACGGCAGCACAGCAGUAGCAAUACUGUGGGUGGCGAGUGGCGGACGGGUGAGGAAUGCGUCGGAAUCUGCCUAUUUGUGGGGGAUAACGUAGGGAAACUUACGCUAAUACCGCAUACGACCUACGGGUGAAAGUGGGGGACCGCAAGGCCUCACGCAGAUAGAUGAGCCGACGCCGGAUUAGCUAGUUGGCGGGGUAAAGGCCCACCAAGGCGACGAUCCGUAGCUGGUCUGAGAGGAGGAUCAGCCACACUGGGACUGAGACACGGCCCAGACUCCUACGGGAGGCAACAGUGGGGAAUAUUGGACAAUGGGCGCAAGCCUGAUCCAGCCAUGCCGCGUGUGUGAAGAAGGCCUUCGGGUUGUAAAGCACUUUUGUCCGGAAAGAAAUCCUUUUGAUUAAUACUCGGAAGGGAUGACGGUACCGGAAGAAUAAGCACCGGCUAACUUCGUGCCAGCAGCCGCAGUAAGAC
rnacentral:rRNA from 1 species